CCCCUCUUGGGGUUGCACCUGGAGAGUAUCCAGUACUCUACCAAUCUCAUCUGUGAGAGGGAGAGUCAAACAGAGGCAUACCCAUUUCAUUCCUAGCUUGGGCAGUGGCUAGUGAGUGGAAGGCAAUCCAGAACAAGU